CGCGUAGGCGGCCGCGUGUGUCGCGUGUGAAAUCCCCGGGCUCAACCCGGGAAGUGCGCGCGAAACUGCGGGGCUCGAGCGGAGGAGGGGAGAGCGGAAUUCAUGGUGUAGCGGUGAAAUGCGUUGAUAUCAUGAGGAACACCGGUGGCGAAGGCGGCUCUCUGGAAUCCUGCUGACGCUGAGGCGCGAAAGUCGGGGGAGCAAACA
rnacentral:rRNA from 1 species